rnacentral:lncRNA from 1 species
GUAGCAGGGUGGGAGGGAGCUACGGCUGGUGGCUGAUUCUCUGGGGUGACUGGGCAUGGGUUAUGGGAAUGGAGGAUGAUGUCCCUCAUCGGUUCCCAGAGAGUUGCCUCACUAGCACCCUGGAGCCUGUGAAUAGUGUUUAAAUCAAUGGUCAAAGUGAAGAGGGCAGCUUAGUCCUCAUUACUCCCCAGGACUAAUUGACCUCUUCUGAAAAGGUACAUUCUUGAUUUGGUGAGACUCUUCCUCAUCCGGAAAGAGGAGAACAAAGGCAUCACCAUCCUGAGAGUGUUUGUGAAGGACUCAUACAGACCGAACACUGCGCAGAGCCUGAUGACCUUUUCCUGCCCUGGAGAUUCUCAGUUUUGUCAUUUUGAUGAAUCUCUAAGUUGUGUUCACUGACUGCGUGCAAUUCUACUUGGAGAUCUUCAUAACACCUUAAGGGAAAAAUCCUUUUUGAAAGAAAAACAAGUCUGGGUGGUGCUUGAAAAUUCAGAAGGCAGCUAGAAACUCUGCCAAUUACAACUGGUGAUUGCUGAGUUCUGGAGACAGACUGGGCUUCUGCUUUCUUUUGGUGGAGGUGUCUGCUUGCAGAAAAUUUAUGUUCUGGGAUUUACAACUUCAGGGAGACAAAGGAAACUCCAGCUCAUCUCCCACAUCAUUGAUUGAGAGGACCAUUUUCUGACUGUCUGCACACGGAUGGGCAUUUGAAUUAUUUCCAGUUUUUGGCUAUUAUGAAAAAAACUGCUAUGAACAUUCAUACACAAGUGUGUGUGUGGACCCAUGUUUUCACUGAUCAAGGCCUAAAUACCUACGGUAAGUAUACAUUUAACCUUAUAAGAAAAUGCAAAACUAUUUUUCCAAAGUAGUAUCAUUUUACAUUUCUUCUAACAACAUAUGAGAAUGGCAGUUGCUCUACUAAUAUGGUUUGGCUUUGUGUCCCCACC